rnacentral:rRNA from 1 species
AUUGAACGCUGGCGGCAGGCCUAACACAUGCAAGUCGAGCGGAUGAAGGGAGCUUGCUCCUGGAUUCAGCGGCGGACGGGUGAGUAAUGCCUAGGAAUCUGCCUGGUAGUGGGGGAUAACGUCCGGAAACGGGCGCUAAUACCGCAUACGUCCUGAGGGAGAAAGUGGGGGAUCUUCGGACCUCACGCUAUCAGAUGAGCCUAGGUCGGAUUAGCUAGUUGGUGGGGUAAAGGCCUACCAAGGCGACGAUCCGUAACUGGUCUGAGAGGAUGAUCAGUCACACUGGAACUGAGACACGGUCCAGACUCCUACGGGAGGCAGCAGGGGGGAAUAUUGGACAAUGGGCGAAAGCCUGAUCCAGCCAUGCCGCGGGUGUGAAGAAGGUCUUCGGAUUGUAAAGCACUUUAAGUUGGGAGGAAGGGCAGUAAGUUAAGACCUUGCUGUUUUGACGUUACCAACAGAAUAAGCACCGGCUAACUUCGU